CUCGGGGUAGCUCAGCUGGAUAGAGCAACGGUCUUCUAAACCGUGGGUCGCGAGUUCGAAUCUCGCUCUCGAGA
rfam:Aerococcus urinae ACS-120-V-Col10a, complete genome.